CAGCCGCCACGGUAAUACGGAGGGUGCAAGCGUUAUCCGGAUUUAUUGGGUUUAAAGGGUCCGUAGGCGGAUCUGUAAGUCAGUGGUGAAAUCUCACAGCUUAACUGUGAAACUGCCAUUGAUACUGCAGGUCUUGAGUAAAUUUGAAGUGGCUGGAAUAGUAGUGUAGCGGUGAAAUGCAUAGAUAUUACUUAGAACACCAAUUGCGAAGGCAGGUCACUAAGAUUUAACUGACGCUGAUGGACGAAAGCGUGGGGAGCGAACAGGAUUAGAUACCCCAGUAGUCCCUGUCUCUUAUACA
rnacentral:rRNA from 1 species